CUUCCCCCCUUAUUUUGUUUAAUUGUCUGGGCAAGUUGAUUCUCCUUCCUUUGUGGACAUUCAGCUAUUUUAUGACCCUUCUAUCGACAACCAAAGCUUGCACAGGUGUUCCAAUGACAAUCAUUUAUAGCAUAAUUCCCACCACAUCUGGAACAUCUAUUGCUAUUCAUCUGCUCAGGGUUGUCACUCGUUGAUCUCUUGUUUGAACUUUUGGUGUUUCUAUUGCUCUAUCCCUAAAAUUCAUUUGAUAUAUUUCUCUUCUUUUGAUUUUUUUGCUUUCUGCCUGUUCUUCAUUAACUUCUCUUUCAAUUAUUACAACUUUAUUUACCACAACAGCAUAGGUAGUCAAUUCAUAAGGUAACAUCUCAUUUUCUACUUAUAGUCUUCAGUCCCAUCUCCAAUUUAUGUACUCAAUCUAGCUCAUCCUCAA
rnacentral:lncRNA from 1 species